rnacentral:rRNA from 1 species
AUUGAACGCUGGCGGCAGGCUUAACACAUGCAAGUCGAGCGAGCGGCGGACGGGUGAGUAAUGUAUGGGAAACUGCCUGAUGGAGGGGGAUAACUACUGGAAACGGUAGCUAAUACCGCAUACCAUAAGAUGUGCCCAGAUGGGAUUAGCGAGUAGGUGGGGUAAUGGCUCACCUAGGCGACGAACCCUAGCUGGUCUGAGAGGAUGAGCAGCCACACGGGAACGGAGACACGGUCCAGCCGCCUACGAGAGGCAGCAGUGGGGAAUAUUGCACAAUGGGCGCAAGCCUGAUGCAGCCAUGCCGCGUGUGGGAAGAAGGCCUUCGGGUUGUAAAGCACUUUCAGCGAGGAGGCGUUACUCGCAGAAGAAGCACCGGCUAACUCCGUGCCAGCAGCCGCGGUAAUUC